rnacentral:rRNA from 1 species
GGAGGGUGCGAGCGUUGUCCGGAAUCACUGGGCGUAAAGGGCGCGUAGGUGGCCCGUUAAGUGGUCGGUGAAAUCCCGGGGCUCAACUCCGGGGCUGCCGGUCAGACUGGCGAGCUAGAGCACGGUAGGGGCAGAUGGAAUUCCCGGUGUAGCGGUGGAAUGCGUAGAGAUCGGGAAGAAUACCAGUGGCGAAGGCGUUCUGCUGGGCCGUUGCUGACACUGAGGCGCGACAGCGUGGGGAGCAAACAGGAUUAGAUACCCUGGUAGUCCACGCCGUAAACGAUGGACACUAGACGUCGUGGGGAGCGACCCUCCCGGUGUCGUCGCUAACGCAGUAAGUGUCCCGCCUGGGGAGUACGGCCGCAAGGCUG